AUUGAACGCUGGCGGCAUGCUUUACACAUGCAAGUCGAACGGUAACAGGCCUUCGGGUGCUGACGAGUGGCGAACGGGUGAGUAAUUCAUCGGAACGUACCCAGAGGUGGGGGAUAACGCAGCGAAAGCUGUGCUAAUACCGCAUGUGAUCUGAGGAUGAAAGCGGGGGACCGAGCAGCAAUGUUUGGCCUCGCGCCUUUGGAGCGGCCGAUGUCGGAUUAGCUAGUUGGUGGGGUAAAGGCCUACCAAGGCGACGAUCCGUAGCUGGUCUGAGAGGACGACCAGCCACACGGGGACUGAGACACGGCCCAGACUCCUACGGGAGGCAGCAGUGGGGAAUGUUGGACAAUGGGCGCAAGCCUGAUCCAGCAAUGCCGCGUGCGGGAAGAAGGCCUUCGGGUUGUAAACCGCUUUUGGCAGGAACGAAACGGUGUCCGCUAAUACCGGGCGCUAAUGACGGUACCUGCAGAAUAAGCACCGGCUAACUACGUG
rnacentral:rRNA from 1 species